rnacentral:rRNA from 1 species
UACGUAGGUGGCAAGCGUUGUCCGGAUUUAUUGGGUUUAAAGGGUGCGUAGGCGGCAUUUUAAGUCAGUGGUGAAAUACUUCAGCUCAACUGGAGAGGUGCCAUUGAUACUGGGAUGCUUGAGUACUGAUGAGGUAGGCGGAAUGGACGGUGUAGCGGUGAAAUGCUUAGAUAUCGUCCAGAACACCGAUAGCGAAGGCAGCUUACUAAGGAGUAACUGACGCUGAGGCACGAAAGUGUGGGGAUCAAACAGG